UACGGAGGGGGCGAGCGUUAUUCGGAAUUAUUGGGCGUAAAGAGCGUGUAGGCGGUCCGGUAAGUCCGCUGUGAAAGUCGGGGGCUCAACCCUCGAAUGCCGGUGGAUACUGUCGGGCUAGAGUGCGGAAGAGGCGAGUGGAAUUCCUGGUGUAGCGGUGAAAUGCGCAGAUAUCAGGAGGAACACCUAUUGCGAAGGCAGCUCGCUGGGACGUUACUGACGCUGAGACGCGAAAGCGUGGGGAGCAAACAGG
rnacentral:rRNA from 1 species